GUGCCACAGAGACACAGAGCCACAGAGACACAGAGCCACAGAGACACAGAGCCACAGCGCCGCAGCACCAAGCACUGCUUCUGCAGCGGGGACAAGAGCUGAAGUGUGCACAGCUGUCCAGGUUUUCACACCUGUUGCUUUGGAGUGUGGCAAGCACCGGGUUAGUGUUUUCAUCCUAAAUUUCCAAAAUCAUUUGUGCAUGUUGAAAUAAGCAAGUGUGCCAUCCCAUUUUAGAAAAGCAGAGCUACCCCCACCAGAGGCAGAGGCUGUACAUCUGCACACCCUGGGUGAGCAUGGCCUACAGUGCUGAGGUGAGCAUGGCCCACCAUGCUUAGGUGUAGCUUCAUAAACAAGAGCAGAAUACACAUACUAUAGAACUUAGGGCCAAAGGGGCAUGGCUCAAAUCCUGAGUCAGUCACUUCCUGCAAAUAUGGCUACCUGGGCACAGUCUCCUGCUGUGGAGAUAAAUCCUCUCCUCUGGCAGGGUAAUGUUGAAGGAAUCUAUACAGAAACGGGUGAGGCAGUCAACUGGAUGCUUAAGAUAUCCACCCAGGUGACACUUCCCAUCUUUCUGAAUCCACAAGACAGUCAGAUCCGGGAGGUCACUAAACAGCUCUUCAAUACUGAUCUCAGGAGCCAUCAUCACCUGACUGGAUGUGGAAAGCUGACUACAGCCGCCUCUCGCUCGCCCAGCUACUAGGGAGGUUUGUGGCACAUGUGUAAAUCAGCAAGCAUGUUCAGCCUCCACUUCUAGUCCUUUAAAAAGGCAAAUCUACUUUCUCCAGUGGUUUUAUUUCUCUAAAGGUUCACUUUCUCAGCCUACAUAAGAGCUCAUGUUCUCAGGAGACUGACAAAAGUCAUAGGUACUGAGUUUGAGGACAUAGACAACCUGGGUUACAAAGUGAGAGGCUUGAUCUCAAAAUAAAUAAAAAUUGAAAAUAAUAAUGCUACUGCCGAAAGAAAGCAAUCCUUUUUUACACUUCCAGGCUUUAACUUGACCUACAUACGAGACCUGAAUAUCAAGGAAGGGUAGAGACUGAAUCCAGCCAUCCUGUGACACUCACACAUAUUUAUGAGGGUACUUCAACCCACAUAACUGUGUACACUCAAAACUGGCCCACUGCUGGUUAUAAAUUAUAUCAACUGUAGCCAUCAUAAAAGAUUGAUUAUAGGAUCACUCCUGGCCACACACUUGCUAAGAUGUCCACAUGUGAAUUCAUGUACCCUUACUGCUUUUCCUUUUCUAUGAUGUGCAACAGCUCUCUCACUCCUAGUGAGUCAUGGCGCCUCUAGUCCAGACGGCCCUGGCAUCAAUCCCAGCCGCUUUAUCACAAUUUGAAACACAAGUCUCACCAUCCCAGGUCAAAGAGCACUGCUACAGCCAUUCAUGUGAGAACACAACGAGGGUCAAUAGGGAGAGCAUUUAAAUAUGGCAACCAACAGAGCCCCAGAGUGCUCUGUGAUGGCCAUCUGCCACCAUGCUUCUGUGGGCCUCCCUCAGCUCCCAGACUUAGCAACCCAAGCACAAAGCUCCUGGGGUCCAUACCUGUGCAGCCAUUUUUUUUUAAUUUUAAUUUUAAUUUUUAUUUUUAUUUAAGACAGCUAACUACCAUUCAUUUUAAAACAAGAUCCAUAGGAAACAAGAUAAAGAGGCUGGCAAAGCUGAGAACAAGCUACCCACCCAGUGACCAGCCUAAAAGAGCCCAAAAGAGCAGGCAAGAGAAGAAAGCCUGUAAAAGUCUCAAAUAUACUCAGAAAUGAGAGAGCUUCAGGCCAUGGCGGACCUCAAAGGGCCCAAGAUCAAGAACAUAGACUCCUGGUAUGAGAGAAACAAGAUUGGAGGCUCAAAAUUGGCUACCUGAAAAAAA
rnacentral:sRNA from 1 species